UGGCGAACGGCUGAGGAACACGUACGAAUCUGCCCUCCGGUGGGGAAUAACGCACCGAAAGGUGUGCUAAUACCGCGUACGCGCGCAAGCGGAAAGCCGCAAGGCGCCGGGGGAGGAGCGUGCGGCCCAUCAGAUAGUUGGCGGGGUAAUGGCCCACCAAGUCGGUGACGGGUCGCUGGUCUGUGAGGACGAUCAGCCAGACUGGGACUGAGACACGGCCCAG
rnacentral:rRNA from 1 species